GAUGAACGCUGGCGGCGUGCUUAACACAUGCAAGUCGAGCGAGUGAGUUCUUCGGAACGAUCUAGCGGCGGACGGGUGAGUAACACGUGGGCAACCUGCCUCAUAGAGGGGAAUAGCCUCCCGAAAGGGAGAUUAAUACCGCAUAACAUCGUUGAAGGGCAUCCUUCGAUGAUCAAAGGAGCAAUCCGCUAUGAGAUGGGCCCGCGGCGCAUUAGCUAGUUGGUGAGGUAACGGCUCACCAAGGCGACGAUGCGUAGCCGACCUGAGAGGGUGAUCGGCCAAGUUGGGACUGAGACACGGCGCAGACGCCUACGGGAGGCAGCAGUGGGGAAUAUUGCACAAUGGGGGAAACCCUGAUGCAGCAACGCCGCGUGAGUGAUGACGGCCUUCGGGUUGUAAAGCUCUGUCUUUGGGGACGAUAAUGACGGUACCCAAGGAGGAAGUCACGGCUAACUACGUGCCAGCAGCCGCCGUAA
rnacentral:rRNA from 1 species